rnacentral:rRNA from 1 species
UACAGAGGGCUCAAGCGUUGUUCGGAUUCAUUGGGCGUAAAGGGUGCGUAGGCGGCGGGGUAAGUCAGGUGUGAAAUCUCGGGGCUCAACCCCGAAACUGCACUUGAUACUGCCUUGCUCGAGUACUGGAGAGGAGAUUGGAAUUUACGGUGUAGCAGUGAAAUGCGUAGAUAUCGUAAGGAAGACCAGUGGCGAAGGCGAAUCUCUGGACAGUUACUGACGCUGAGGCGCGAAGGCCAGGGGAGCAAACGGG